UGGGGAAUUUUGCACAAUGGGGGAAACCCUGAUGCAGCGACGCCGCGUGAUUUAGAAGGCCUUCGGGUUGUAAAAAUCUUUUCUAUGGGAAGAAAAUGACAGUACCAUAGGAAUAAGGACCGGCUAAUUACGUGCCAGCAGCCGCGGUAAUACGUAAGUUCCGAGCGUUGUCCGGAAUCAUUGGUCGUAAAGGGUACGUAGGCGGGUAAGCAAGUUAGAAGUGAAAUCCUAUAGCUCAACUAUAGUAAGCUUUUAAAACUGCUCAUCUUGAGGUAUGGAAGGGAAAGUGGAAUUCCUAGUGUAGCGGUGAAAUGCGCAGAUAUGAGGAGGAAUACCGGUGGCGAAGGCGACUUUCUGGCCAUAACCUGACGCUGAGGUACGAAAGCGUGGGUAGCAAACAGG
rnacentral:rRNA from 1 species